rnacentral:tRNA from 1 species
GGGCCGGUAGCUCAGCUUGGUCAGAGACCGCCGAUCAGGCGGCUGGAACGUCUGACUGAUAAUCAGAAGGUCAGGAGUCCGAAUCUCCUCCGGCCCA